rnacentral:rRNA from 1 species
ACCCGCUGAACUUAAGCAUAUCAUUCAGCGGAGGAAAAGAAACCAACAGGGAUUGCCUCAGUAACGGCGAGUGAAGCGGCAAGAGCUCAGAUUUGAAAUCGGCCGCCCGGCUGAGUUGUAAUCUGCAGAGGAAUGUUCGGCGGAGGUGCUGGCUAAAGUCUUCUGGAAGGGAGCGCCGCAGAGGGUGAGAGCCCCGUUUAGCCAUCGUCCGAUGCUAUGUGUACCUCCUUCGAAGAGUCGAGUUGUUUGGGAAUGCAGCUCAAGAUGGGUGGUAAAUUCCAUCUAAAGCUAAAUAUAAGCCAAAGACCGAUAGCGCACAAGUAGAGUGAUCGAAAGAUGAAAAGCACUUUGGAAAGAGAGUGAAACAGUACGUGAAAUUGUUGAAAGGGAAGCGCUUGUGGUCAGACUUGCGCGCAGCCAUUCAGCCGUCCUCUGGGCGGUGCACUUGGCUGCGUUCGGGCCAGCAUCGGUUUGAGCAGCCGGAUAAAGGUUGGAGGAAUGUGGCUCUUCGGAGUGUUAUAGCCUCCUUCACAAUACGGCUAGUUCGGACCGAGGACAGCGUUCGCUAGGAUGCUGGCGUAAUGGCCAUCAGCGACCCGUCUUGAAACACGG